AAGAAUCUCCUUAGUGUAGAGAAUAAGGAAUGAAUCCUAACCAUAGGAUCUGAAUAUAUUAAUGGUUCAGAUUAAAACUAAUUAAUAAUUAAUCUACAUUUUUAAUUUACUGAAUAACUUUAAAAAUCAUAUAAAAAAACGUUGGGGGUAUAUUAGACAAUUUGUCUAUUCAGAAAACUGUCAUUCCUAAUUUAAGGAAUGAUCUCUCCCCUCACCCACGUCUUUUCCAAACAAACUCCUCUCACUUUGGAAACCCUACACCAGACGCGUCUCCUCCCAAACGAACGGCGAUUCAUCUCCAAUUACAAGAGCGACGCUUGAAUUUGGCCGACGACAUUGCAGUUAUCCUGCCGCGAACAUUUGAUUUGGCCGUCUGGAUUUGGAGGACGAUUGGUUCAGUUUUCCGACGGCGUUUGCUGAAAACCGUGCUGAAAAUGCAACAUAUCUAAUAAACGACCGCAACAAUUCUCAAGGAUGCGCAUACGGUAUUGUGCACCCAUUUUGGCAUGGGAGGAAAAUGAGGUGAAAAGGGCCGUUUUGGACAAAGCUUCACAUACUUUUGGAGAAAUGUGCAAGGAUCCAAGAUUCAAUAUAAAUUCGAUGCUAUAAAUUCGAUGCUUCGCAUACUUUUGGACAAAGCUUCACAUACUAUAAUUUUAUUGAAUUGUGCAGUUAGCUUAUGUAUUAUUCAGUAUAUAUUGUAGUUUAUUUGUUAAAUUUAUAUAUUAUUCAGUAUAAUUUAUAGUUGUAUUUGCAAAAUUUAUUAUAAAUCAUUUUGCACCUAAAAAAAUAUAUUUCAAGA